rnacentral:tRNA from 1 species
AGCCUUUGUUGUUUUGAUUGAAAAUGUCUGUUUGUGGUUCAGGGGAUGUGGGGCUAU